UUGCAGGGAAGGUACACAGAACACAGA
rnacentral:piRNA from 1 species